UACAGAGGGUGCAAGCGUUAAUCGGAAUUACUGGGCGUAAAGCGCGCGUAGGUGGUUAUGUAAGUUGAAUGUGAAAUCCCCGGGCUCAACCUGGGAACUGCAUCCAAAACUGCAUGGCUAGAGUACGGUAGAGGGUGGUGGAAUUUCCUGUGUAGCGGUGAAAUGCGUAGAUAUAGGAAGGAACACCAGUGGCGAAGGCGACCACCUGGACUGAUACUGACACUGAGGUGCGAAAGCGUGGGGAGCAAACAGG
rnacentral:rRNA from 1 species